rnacentral:rRNA from 1 species
GAUGAACGCUGGCGGCGUGCCUAAUACAUGCAAGUCGAGCGAACAGACGAGGAGCUUGCUCCUUCGACGUUAGCGGCGGACGGGUGAGUAACACGUAGGUAACCUACCUAUAAGACUGGGAUAACUUCGGGAAACCGGAGCUAAUACCGGAUAAUAUUUCGAACCGCAUGGUUCGAUAGUGAAAGAUGGCUUUGCUAUCACUUAUAGAUGGACCUGCGCCGUAUUAGCUAGUUGGUAAGGUAACGGCUUACCAAGGCAACGAUACGUAGCCGACCUGAGAGGGUGAUCGGCCACACUGGAACUGAGACACGGUCCAGACUCCUACGGGAGGCAGCAGUAGGGAAUCUUCCGCAAUGGGCGAAAGCCUGACGGAGCAACGCCGCGUGAGUGAUGAAGGUCUUCGGAUCGUAAAACUCUGUUAUUAGGGAAGAACAAACGUGUAAGUAACUGUGCACGACUUGACGGUACCUAAUCAGAAAGCCACGGCUAACUACGUG